AAAGGUAUAGCUCAAGUGGGUAAAGCACAUGCUUAGCAUGCAUGAGGUCCUGGGUUCAAUCCCCAGUACCUCCU
rnacentral:tRNA from 1 species